GUCUGCAUCGUCUAGUGGUUAGGACAGAACGUUGUGGCCGUUCAGACCCAGGUUCGAUUCCUGGUGCAGACA
rfam:Gregarina niphandrodes unplaced genomic scaffold scaffold00267, whole genome shotgun sequence.